UAGUUUUGGUAGUUCAUAUACUAAAAACUGGAAUAAAGUAGAGAAGAUUAGCGUGGGCCUUGCACAAGGCUGACACACAAAUUCAUGAAGCAGUCUAUAUAUAU